rnacentral:rRNA from 1 species
CAGCAGCCGCGGGAAUACGUAGGGUGCAAGCGUUAAUCGGAAUUACUGGGCGUAAAGCGUGCGCAGGCGGUUAUAUAAGACAGAUGUGAAAUCCCCGGGCUCAACCUGGGAACUGCAUUUGUGACUGUAUAGCUAGAGUACGGCAGAGGGGGAUGGAAUUCCGCGUGUAGCAGUGAAAUGCGUAGAUAUGCGGAGGAACACCGAUGGCGAAGGCAAUCCCUGGGCCUGUACUGACGCUCAUGCACGAAAGCGUGGGGAGCAAACAGGAUUAGAUACCCCUGUAGUCCCUGUCUCUUAUACC